UAGCUAACGGCAGCUAGCUAACGCGUUAGCUUCCGUUAACUAACGUGUUAGCUUCCGUUAACUAGCUUCCAUUCAAGUAUCUACAACUACUUCGUGUUCUACAACCUUGGCUCAUGUAUUUAUGUUUUCAUCUUAUUUUCAACUGCCCGUUUUGCAUUUAGUUUCUCUGUUUCUCGUUUUGAAGAAAAAAAGAGGGAAAACGCAGACAGGAAACGGAAGUGAUGCGCCAACAGGUUUCACCCACUUCAAAAAGCUGUAAAACGUGAUGGUCAAACAAGAUGGCCGCCCCCAGCGAUGCAGCGUGACAUCACACAAAGCUGAUGAUCAGUAGAGCAGGAUGUGAAGCAGUCGAACUGAAACACUCACACAUUCAGAAGCUUGUCUGGUUCUUCCCGGAGAGCCGGCCGCCGUCUGAGGGAUCGG